CGGGCUGUAGCGCAGCUUGGUAGCGCACCUGACUGGGGGUCAGGGGGUCGCACAGCCGCUACUCGAAAAUCACUGCUAUUUCAA
rnacentral:tRNA from 1 species